CCUACGGGAGGCAGCAGUGAGGAAUAUUGGUCAAUGGACGAGAGUCUGAACCAGCCAAGUAGCGUGAAGGAUGACUGCCCUAUGGGUUGUAAACUUCUUUUAUAUGGGAAUAAAAUGUUCCACGUGUGGGAUUUUGUAUGUAACAUAUGAAUAAGGAUCGGCUAACUCCGUGCCAGCAGACGCGGUAAUACGGAGGAUUCGAGCGUUAUCCGGAUUUUAUGGGUUUAAAGGGAGCGUAGGUGGAUUGUUAAGGCAGUUGUUAAAGUUUGCGGGUCAACCGUAAAAUUGCAGUUGAAACUGGCAGUCUUGAGUACAGUAGAGGUGGGCGGAAUUCGUGGUGUAGCGGUGAAAUGCUUAGAUAUCACGAAGAACUCCGAUUGCGAAGGCAGUUCACUGGCCUGCAACUGACACUGAGGCACGAAAGUGUGGGUAUCAAACAGGAUUAGAUACCCUAGUAGUC
rnacentral:rRNA from 1 species